rnacentral:rRNA from 1 species
AGGUAACGGCGAGUGAAGCGGGAUGAGCUCAAGCUUAAAAUCUCCAUACAAGUUUUGUAUGGCGAAUUGUAGUCUAUAGAGGCGUGGUCAGCGUGAGCGCUUGGGGCAAGUUCCUUGGAAGAGGACAGCAUGGAGGGUGAUACUCCCGUUCAUCCCUGAGUGGCUCGUGCGUACGACCCGUUUUCUUUGAGUCGCGUUGUUUGGGAAUGCAGCGCAAAGUAGGUGGUAAAUUCCAUCUAAAGCUAAAUAUUGGUGCGAGACCGAUAGCGAACAAGUACCGUGAGGGAAAGAUGAAAAGAACUUUGAAAAGAGAGUUAAAGAGUACCUGAAACUGCUGAAAGGGAACCGAAUCGUUUCCAGUGUCUAUAAUCCGUGGUAUAUUUCAUUGGCGAGUGUGUGCGUGCGUGUGCUUUAGCAGCGGCCUUUUUGGCUGCGCUUGGCGCGUGUGCUGUGUGUACUUGCUGGUGCCCUGUGCUACGGUGGGACGUCAAUGUCAGUUCGUAUACUGCGAGAAAUGGCCGCCGAGGAGGUAGGGCUUACGCUUGCGUUUGUCUGUUAUAGCUUGGCGGUGGUUGUCGCGGUUGGGACUGAGGUGCCUACAACGUGCUUUUGAGUGAGUUUGUGUCUCCGUGUGUACCGUGUGCGGAUAGCUUGCUAUGCGUGUGUGGUUAUGUAUGGAAGAUGCGGGCUUUAACUUGUUGCCGUUCGGGACAUUGACGAAAUGGAGCGAUCCGACCCGUCUUGAAACACGGACCAAGGAGUCUAACAUGUGUGCAAGUGUUAGGGUGUGGAAACCCCAGCGCGAAAUGAAAGUAAAGGGCAGCGCAAGCUGUCUGAGGUAGGAAAUGUUGUGGAUUUCGGUCUGCGACGUGGCACUAUCGACCGAUCAUGAACCUUCGUGGUGAAAGAUUUGAGUUUGAGCACAUA